rnacentral:rRNA from 1 species
CACGGGGGGAGCAAGCGUUGUUCGGAAUCACUGGGCGUAAAGGGCGUGUAGGCGGUCAUGUAAGUGGAAUGUGAAAGCCCUCGGCUCACCCGAGGAUAUGCAUUUCAAACUGCAUGGCUUGAGUAUGGGAGAGGAUGAGGGAAUUCCUGGUGUAGCGGUGAAAUGCGUAGAUAUCAGGAGGAACACCGGUGGCGAAGGCGCUCAUCUGGCCCAAUACUGACGCUGAGGCGCGAAAGCUAGGGGAGCAAACGGG